CUAGCUGCUGGUCGGAUAUCUACGUAUUUCAUCGCAACCACCUGUGCAGCUUCGUCGGCACCUUCAGCCACCGCGAUUGACUGUCGCCGGAUACCCUUCCCGGAAAAUCUCCCCCUCAGGGGUGUCUUCGCACCACCAGCAACAUUAAAAGCAAUAAUACUACGGCGAUAAACAUUGCACCGAACGAGGAACGAAUCUCGUCCUAGCUGGCUUCUGUUCCCCCUCUUCCGGGAAAAACGACACCGGAGGAAAACAGAGUGGGGCGGGAACGGGCAAUCGUCCGUUGCUUCUAUCCCUCCCAUCGUCAACCACAACCCGUCAUCCCGCCAGAAUUUUCCAGCAUCCUGGCUGGCGCGCUGGAUCCUGUAAUGGUACUGAACGGAACUAUGCAGCAUCAGUUCGAUAGUUGACGUGAUUUAAAGCGGUUGGAAAUCUGGCGAGUGCUCCUGCCUGAUCAGGCUCUCGGUGUUAGAAUGAAAACGCUCAACUGAAAACUUAUUCAAACCGAUCGGUCGGAUCGUUGGAUUGUCCCCUCUCAAGCACUAGUCGGAAGCUUAUUUUCAUCGAGCGCUACUUAGAGACUUAACAAAGUGUGGAAACAAGAAACUCAAUUUUCCCAGCAGCCAGAGCGGCCGGGUCGGCAAAUGGGUGGUGGAAACCCCGGAAGGAAAACUUUACUCCGUCUGUUUGUCCACGUUGCGAUGUCGGUUGGCGUGUUUGCUCGUUUGCACUUUAGCGCAUACUAGUGAGUAGAGAGUAGAGGAAAAAAAUACUGCCAAGUGUUUGGUUCGAUCGGUGCGCGCUAUUGCCAGUCAAGUGUGUCUGCAUUAUCGAUAGAUACAUAGAACGGUUGUAGUUGCGGCAGGAAGAUAGAAUUAUCAGCUUAACCUGCUGCACAGACCCGCGGGUAACGAAGGUGGUGUCGUCGGCAGCGGUAGAUUUACGCAUCCUGAGGGAAUACCGGGAGCAACUGUCACCGAAUAGUAUCCGGAUUCUCCUAACCUAGCUAUGACCUACCAUCGUGUGAGCCACGUUACACUAAUUGUGAAAGUAGCCCAGCGGAACCAAUCACCCCAACCUCCUCGUGGCAACGUCCAGACACGUUUCCGUCCCUUCAACCGCCUUCUCAAUAUGGAC